GGCGGUUUCAAAGGUGAAGAAGAUGCAACGUUGAUGGACGUCGAGGUUUCGUUGCCGCAAGCUUCCAUGGCGGACGGUUUCAAAGGUGAAGAUGCGACGACGUCGAUAGACGGCAAAGUUUCGUUGCGGCAAGCUUCCAUGGCGGACGGUUUCAAAGGUGAAGAUGCGACGUUAACGGACGACAAGGUUUUGGAAGCUUGAUCAUGAGCCAUCGUCAGUCAGCGAAGAGUAUGGUCUCUCUUUUGGCGCGGGACUUUCUUCAAGAAUAUUUCCAAAGAGGCACGGAGUAACCGUUUUAACUUAUAUAAAGAGUCAAAACCGACUAAACGGAUCUUUGAGCAAUAACAAAAGCAAAAAAAUAAUAAUAAUAAUGAUAAUUAUACACACUUUUCAUUCAAUAAAAAAUAUUAAGAAGAAAAAAUCCAAAAAUAUAUAUAGAAAUUGAUAAAUCAGUGCAAAUAAAACCAGUUUUUAUUAUUAUUAUUUGUAUUUGAGUUCUUUAACCUAUCACUCAGUGAAAAUAAAACCAUAUUUUCAUAAAAUCUAGCACAUGGCAAAAAUCCAGAAUCCAAAAAACCAAACCGAAUCCGCACCAAAAAAAUAAUAUCAACCCAAACCGAAAUUGGUUGAAUAUCCGAACGAAUUCAAAAUUUUGGUACUUAGAGAACCAAAACCAAAUCCGACCCAAACCAAAAAAAUUCGGAUACCCGAAUGUAUCUGAAAUAGAUUAACAUACUUAAAUAUAUUAAUUAGUUUUUAGAUUUAAUAUAUAGAAAAUAUCUAAAAUAUAUUAGAUACUUUGAAAUUGUCUAAAAUAUUUAAAAAUAUAUACAAAUGGUCAAAAGUAAAUGUC